UGGAUGUCAGCUGGUCUUGAUAGGACUAACCUUCUAUGAGUGGGAGAAAGCUACCAACACUGUCUGUCAUCCGAUCGUGAUAUCCCAUACAUCAAAGAUCUUUUAGAGUCUCGAUGUGGCUCACGGAGGAUUGAGAUAGAGAUCGAGUGAGAUCAGUGGUUGCCCGACGAUGCAAAUCUUACCGAUAUGCCAACCUUCCAUGAGUGGUCAGGUAAGAGCCGAGGUUUGUGGAGUUUUUGAGAUGCCAC
rnacentral:lncRNA from 1 species